GGCCAGACUCCUACGGGAGGCAGCAGUGGGGAAUAUUGCACAAUGGGGGAAACCCUGAUGCAGCGACGCCGCGUGAGUGAAGAAGUAUUUCGGUACGUAAAGCUCUAUCAGCAGGGAAGAAAAUGACGGUACCUGAGUAAGAAGCCCCGGCUAACUACGUGCCAGCAGCCGCGGUAAUACGUAGGGGGCAAGCGUUAUCCGGAUUUACUGGGUGUAAAGGGAGCGUAGACGGCGAUGCAAGCCAGGAGUGAAAGCCCGGGGCGCAACCCCGGGACUGCUCUUGGAACUGCGUGGCUGGAGUGCAGGAGGGGCAGGCGGAAUUCCUGGUGUAGCGGUGAAAUGCGUAGAUAUCAGGAGGAACACCGGUGGCGAAGGCGGCCUGCUGGACUGCAACUGACGUUGAGGCCCGAAAGCGUGGGGAGCAAACAGGAUUAGAUACCCCCGUA
rnacentral:rRNA from 1 species